ACCGCCUCUUUCAGCGGGUCUGGGAAGGAUCCCUCACGGAGGGAAGCAUUCACCACCCCAUGAAGCCCAUCGCCCAGCCCUUCCCGGCUAGCUUUUUAGAGAAAGACAGAAAGAGAAAAACAACUACCAAAUUUUUAGAAGACAUCUGAAGGCAGCCCUGUUUAGGGAAGCUUUUAAUGUGUGACAUUUUAGUGUAUUUUUGUCUUUGUUGGAAGCCGCCCAGAGUGGCUGGGGAAACCCAACCAGAUGGGUGGGGUACAAAUAAUAAAUUAUUAUUAUAUUAUAGCUAGCAAGGCCAGAGCUCAGGGAUGAUGGGAGUUGUAGUCCAGCAACAUCUGGGGACCCACAGGUUGAGAACCGCUGUAAGGGAUGAAGUGAGAGGGUCUCCCUGGAAGGGAAGGAUUUGAGGAGGGGGGCUGGGAGCUCCGUGCCCACUUUGGGGGGGAGCAGGUGACAGCCCCCAUCUUCUCCUCAGCUGCUUAGGAGACCCGGGGCAGCCCCUUCAAAACUGGGCUCAGGCUUUGCCCUGAGUAGUGGGCCGCAGUUGCCGUGGCAACCAAGCCUUGGGAGAACAGGGUGCUGCCUGCCCCCCCGCCCCCCCCCGCAGGGUGGGCCGCCCAUUGCCAAAGCAGUCUUCCAGGGGGCUCUCUCGGCGAGGCGGGUCGUGGGGCGCCGAAAAGGAACAGCAACAAAAUGGGUUUUCCGUCGUGAUUCCUUCCAUUGUCCCACCAGGAGUUUGAACACUUUGGAAGCGACUUUCAGCGGCGGAGGGGGUGUCCCUAAAAACACGCAGCUCUGGGUGCCCAAAGGCGGCGGGGGGGAGCCCCUCUUCUCCCUGCUGAGCUGAUGAAGAUGGAAGAUGGUGAUGAAGACACCUUGGGCAAAGGGAGGGGGGAGGAGGAAGGCGUCCCCGCUGGGAAUAUCUAAGCAGUGGCGUCCAAAUUUAUUCAGAGGGCCAGAUGUGAUGAAGUGAAGGGCCAUGGGGGCCGACCAAAGUUGACCUCUUUUUUAGGAUUGAAGUUGUUAAGGGUUUUUUAGGAUUUUACCCCGGGAAAUAAACUGCCACAGGGGCUGGAUCCAACCGACCGGUAGGCUGGAUUAGGCCCCCGAAACAGACUUUGGACAUGCCUGAUCUAAUGCAACCACCACCACUUCCCUGAGCUCCUUAGAGGAAGAUGAGAAGAAUAAUUUCAGAGGUCCUGCUCCUCUGGCCAGUUGCGCAGGACGGUUGUUCCAUGAGUGUUGGAAGGGAGAAGCAUCAUGCAUACUGGCAAACACGAUGCAAACAAGAUGUGAUCUGCCUGAGAUAAGAAAAAAACCCCAAGUGUGUUUUAUAAGAUGGUCUCCGACUACAAUAAUCUAUCUAAACUUCAUUCACAAGAGCCAAUGGCCAUAGAAACAGUAAAACAUUACAGUAUAGCAGAAAAGGAAAUUUGAUAUAAGAGCACAAUUUAAAGUCCUGAAUCAGGAGUCAGUGGCCCUUAUUCUGAUUGCCCCAGCUGGGAACCUAGCAACCUUUGCUGAUAUCUGCUCAUUUUGAUCUGAGCUCCUUAGAGGAAAGGGAAAGGAGGGGAGGGGAGCAGCCCUGGGUUCAAGGGCGUCCUGGGGGUUUUUGACCUCUCCCAGCUGAGGUUUUCCUGCAAACAAGCGUGUUUCGCAUCCCGACUCCCCCUUUCCCCCGCCUUGCAGAAGCGACCUGCACCGUGGGGAGACACGGGCCCCUGCCUCUGGGUGCCUCCAGGGGCACCUUUCUCGGCCCAAGCGGAUCCUUCAGCUGCGACCCCCUGCACUUGCAGCUGGUUGGAUUAGAUGACCCUUGGGAGUCCCUUCCAAACUACGAUUCCUUCCCAUUAUAAUCAUCUUUGGCUUGUUAACGGAGAAAUCUGAGGGCUCCCUUGGACAAAAAACAAGGACACCAGCCAGGAAUCCCAGAGCAAAACAGCAGCCAGGAGGCUUGGUCUUUAUUGAAGACGGUCGCGACAGGACUCCCACCUGCCACCAGGUGGAACAAGAUGGAAGCCCCAAACAAAAGAGAACCCAAACUUUUAUUAGCUGCUGGUGGCGCUGUGGGUUAAACCACUGUGCCUAGGACUUGCCAAUCAGACGGUCGGCGGUUCGAAUCCCUGCGACGGGGUGAGCUCCCGUUGCUCUGUCCCAGCUCUUGCCCACCUAGCAGUUCAAAAGUAUGUUAAAGUGCAAGUAGAUAAAUAGGUACCGCUCUGGCGGGAAGGUAAAUGGCGUUUCCGUGCGCUGCUCUGGUUCGCCAGAAGUGGCUUAGUCUUGCUGGCCACAUGACCCGAAAGCUGUACACUGGCUCCCUCGGCCGGUAAAGCGAGAUGAGCGCCACAACCCCAGAGUCCUCCGUGACUGGACCUAAGGUCAGGGGUCCCUUUAAUCCCCAUGUUACGCCCCCCCCAAACUACAUCACUCAUACAUGACGGUUACAUCAUGAAAGGGGAGGUCUGGUGGC